GACGAACGCUGGCGGCGUGCCUAACACAUGCAAGUCGAACGAAGUUUUUAUGGAAUGCGACUUCGGUCAAAUGAAGUUUAAACUUAGUGGCGGACGGGUGAGUAACGCGUGAGCAACCUGCCUUUCAGAGGGGGAUAACGUUUGGAAACGAACGCUAAUACCGCAUGAUAUAACGUAAUCGCAUGAUUGUGUUAUCAAAGGAGCAAUCCGCUGAAAGAUGGGCUCGCGUCCGAUUAGGUAGUUGGUGGGGUAACGGCCCACCAAGGCGACGAUCAGUAGCCGGUCUGAGAGGAUGAACGGCCACAUUGGGACUGAGAUACGGCCCAGACUCCUACGGGAGGCAGCAGUGGGGAAUAUUGGGCAAUGGGGGAAACCCUGACCCAGCAACGCCGCGUGAAGGAAGAAGGCCU
rnacentral:rRNA from 1 species